UACGUAGGGGGCAAGCGUUGUCCGGAUUUAUUGGGCGUAAAGAGCGUGUAGGCGGCCACACAGGUCAGCUGUGAAAACUCGAGGCUCAACCUCGAGACGUCGGUUGAAACCGUAUGGCUAGAGUCCGGAAGAGGAGAGUGGAAUUCCCGGUGUAGCGGUGAAAUGCGCAGAUAUCGGGAAGAACACCCGUGGCGAAGGCGGCUCUCUGGGACGGUACUGACGCUGAGACGCGAAAGCGGGGGGAGCGAACAGG
rnacentral:rRNA from 1 species